rnacentral:rRNA from 1 species
AUUGAACGCUGGCGGCAUGCCUUACACAUGCAAGUCGAACGGCAGCACGGGUGCUUGCGCCUGGUGGCGAGUGGCGAACGGGUGAGUAAUACAUCGGAACAUGUCCUGUAGUGGGGGAUAGCCCGGCGAAAGCCGGAUUAAUACCGCAUACGAUCCACGGAUGAAAGCGGGGGACCUUCGGGCCUCGCGCUAUAGGGUUGGCCGAUGGCUGAUUAGCUAGUUGGUGGGGUAAAGGCCUACCAAGGCGACGAUCAGUAGCUGGUCUGAGAGGACGACCAGCCACACUGGGACUGAGACACGGCCCAGACUCCUACGGGAGGCAGCAGUGGGGAAUUUUGGACAAUGGGCGAAAGCCUGAUCCAGCAAUGCCGCGUGUGUGAAGAAGGCCUUCGGGUUGUAAAGCACUUUUGUCCGGAAAGAAAUACUUGGCUCUAAUACAGUCGGGGGAUGACGGUACCGGAAGAAUAAGCACCGGCUAACUACGUG